AUUUGAUUUAGGGUUUAGGAUUUGGAUUAAGGUUUGGUUAGAGUUUGAUUUAGGGUUUAGGAUUUGGUUAGGAUUUGGUUUAGGGUUUGGUUGGGGUUUGGUUUAAGAUUUAUUUAGGGUUUGAUUUAGGGUUUAGGAUUUUAUUAGGAUUUAAGAUUCAAUUAGUUUUGGCAUAAAGUUUAAAUGAAGUUCAAUAGGAUUUUAACUAGAAUUAAAUUAAGAUUGAAUUGAGAUGUAUUUGAGUGAUAUUUGUAAUCCUUCUAAUAUUUCUUUAAGAAUUCUUAUUGUUUGUUUGAAAUUUCUUUGAGGUUUUUUUGAAUUUGAUUAAGCUUGCUUAGCAUUAUUAUGGUCUAAUUAGAGUAUUGUUAGUAUUCUCUUAGAAUUAGGAUUUUGUCAUUAAAAUUUCCAUUCUUCCUUCCACAACGAGGUGUCCAGAGCAUUCUCAAGCAAGACUUCACGUAUUACGACACUACUGUCCAGGUAGAGAGAGUUGGCCUCAAGAAAUCGCUGUGCUUCUGGCUAUCACUAAUUAUUCAAUUUAGCUUGAAAAUAAGAGAAGUCCUAAGUUUAUAUAUAAAUUUUCCCUUUUUGAGUAAUUACACCAAAUACACAAUCCUCA
rnacentral:lncRNA from 1 species